GGAUGUUUGGUUCCUUGUGUAGGCUGAGAGGGUCUGACAAGAAGAUUGCGUGAUGGCUGGAGGGCUGUAUGAACAAGUACAAACCUAUUGGAGGAUGCCUUGUUACCAGGUAGUGCAGCUCCCAGAAAAGGCAAUGGAACAGAUUGACCACUGAUGUCACUUCACAGAUACAGCAACCUCAUUGGCACGAAACUUCAGUUGUUUAUUUCUUUGGAUCAAUUUGCCCAUCUCCAGCUGUCUCAAAAUGCCUUCAGAAGAAUGGGAACAUUCAUUUUAGCAACAAUAGUACUGCGAAAUUAUAAAAUCUAAGACUGGUUACUAAUUAUCCUUGUCUGGAAUAGAAGAAAUUAUAGAAGCCAUUAAAAUGCAGAGGACAAGGAAAUAAAUGUGGAUGUCUCCCAUUUUAAAAUGCUCAAGAAAAAAGAAUGUAAUUCAAAAGAUGGGGCUUCUAUUUGCAGAUUUAGAAGAACGGAAAACCUAAAUAUUUCAGAUAAGACUAAGAAACCUAGGCAUGAUGUUGAUAGAACUUAGGGUAAUUAAAACCAACCACAAUGAAAAGAAACUUGGAGUACCUAAAAACAUCACAGCCAUAGAAUCAUGGAACAUCCUGAGUUGGAAGGGACCCAUAAGAAUCUUCAAAUCCAGCUCCUGACACCACCAUCCAAAAAUCAGACUAUAUGACUGAGAGUGUUAUCCAGUCAUGUCCCAAAAUCAGGCAGCUCGGUGCCAUGGCCAUACCCAACCUGACCCUCCCUGUCACACAUCCACGCUGUUCCCUUGGGUUCUGCCACUGCUCACCAGAGAGAGGAGAUCACUGUCAGGAUGAAAUUAAAGGAAGCUGAUCAGCGUGUGGUGGCCGCCAACUCAUAAACAGGUAAAAUAUGGAUAAUGGUUGAGAUAAGUAAUACUACAAACAUGACCAUGUGAUAUUUGAGAUGAGCACCACACCCUCACCUGAAGGACAGCAUUCGAUUCUGUUGGCAGAAGGAAUUUGGAAAUAAUUUGCUUAGAAAAGCAGUGAAGAAAUGAGUCAGAAAAAUGGUAGGCAGGAAGAAUACGAAUAGAAGGGAAUGUAUGAAUGUUUUUAGAGAAAUAAUGAGAAAUCUUGUACUUCUGCAUACUUUUAUUGCAAGAGCAAACAUUGUAAAUCAGGAGACAUAAAAUCCGAUCUGUUGGG
rnacentral:lncRNA from 7 species